rnacentral:tRNA from 1 species
GCGUCCGUAGCUCAGUUGGAUAGAGUAGCUGGCUUCGAACCAGUUGGCCGGGAGUUCGAAUCUCUCCGGGCGCACCA